UACGUAGGGGGCCAGCGUUGUCCGGAAUCAUUGGGCGUAAAGCGCGCGUAGGCGGUCAGGUAAGUCCGGUGUGAAAGUCAUAGGCUCAACCUAUGGAUGCCGCUGGAAACUGCCUGACUUGAGUCCGGGAGGGGCGAGUGGAAUUCCUGGUGUAGCGGUGAAAUGCGCAGAUAUCAGGAGGAACACCGGUGGCGAAGGCGGGUCUCUGGGCCGAUAUUGACGCUGAGGAGCGAAAGCCAGGGGAGCGAACGGG
rnacentral:rRNA from 1 species